AAUAUUGGACAAUGGGGGCAACCCUGAUCCAGCCAUGCCGCGUGUGUGAAGAAGGUCUUCGGAUUGUAAAGCACUUUAAGUUGGGAGGAAGGGCAGUAAGUUAAUACCUUGCUGUUUUGACGUUACCGACAGAAUAAGCACCGGCUAACUUCGUGCCAGCAGCCGCGGUAAUACGAAGGGUGCAAGCGUUAACCGGAAUUACUGGGCGUAAAGCCAGCGUAGGUGGGUUGGUAAGGUGGAAAUGAAAGGCCUGGGGUCAAACUGGGAACCUCUUUCAAAAACGGUGGGGUUAAGUAACGUAGGGGGGAAGGGAAAUUCCUGUGUAGCGGUGAAAUGCGUAGAUAUAGGAAGGAACACCAGUGGCGAAGGCGACCACCUGGGCUAAUACUGACACUGAGGUGCGAAAGCGUGGGGAGCAAAC
rnacentral:rRNA from 1 species